rnacentral:rRNA from 1 species
GACGAACGCUGGCGGCGUGCCUAAUACAUGCAAGUAGAACGCACAGUUUAUACCGUAGCUUGCUACACCAUAAACUGUGAGUUGCGAACGGGUGAGUAACGCGUAGGUAACCUGCCUGGUAGCGGGGGAUAACUAUUGGAAACGAUAGCUAAUACCGCAUAAUAUUGAUUAUUGCAUGAUAAUUGAUUGAAAGAUGCUAUUGCAUCACUACCAGAUGGACCUGCGUUGUAUUAGCUAGUAGGUGAGGUAACGGCUCACCUAGGCGACGAUACAUAGCCGACCUGGGAGGGUGAUCGGCCACAACGGGACUGGGACACGGCCCAGACUCCUACGGGAGGCAGCAGUAGGGAAUCUUCGGCAAUGGACGAAAGUCUGACCGAGCAACGCCGCGUGAGUGAAGAAGGUUUUCGGAUCGUAAAGCUCUGUUGUAAGAGAAGAACGGGUGUGAGAGUGGAAAGUUCACACUGUGACGGUAUCUUACCAGAAAGGGACGGCUAACUACGUG